GGAUGUGAGGGCGAUAUGGCUGCAACAUGUGUCACCCCAUUGAUUGCCAGGGUUGAUUCAUCUGAGCUGGCUGACUAGGCUGGUGUCCCCUUCCUACCUCACCGCUCCAUGUGCCUCCCUCCUGAAGCUGCACACUUGGUCGAAGAGGACCACUAUUCCUAACAGAGGAAGACUGGUGUUCAGUCAAGCACAUACAAAUAGCUGCACUCCCCUGCUAGAACUUUCAAACAAGCUCUCAAAAAAUUGGCAGGGGGCUCAGCCUCAUGACUGGGUUCCAGGGCUAGGGAGAAACCAAAGCAGCAGGGCCAGGCUCUGGAGUUGGUCAGCUCUCCCU
ensembl:misc_RNA 7SK 7SK RNA